UACGGAGGGGGCAAGCGUUGUUCGGAAUCAUUGGGCGUAAAGGGCGCGUAGGCGGCCGGCCAAGUCGGGUGUGAAAUCCCUCGGCUCAACCGAGGAACUGCACUCGAUACUGGCUGGCUAGAGUCCGGGAGGGGAUGGUGGAAUUCCCAGUGUAGCGGUGAAAUGCGUAGAUAUUGGGAAGAACACCGGUGGCGAAGGCGGCCAUCUGGACCGGAACUGACGCUGAGGCGCGAAAGCCAGGGGAGCGAAUGGG
rnacentral:rRNA from 1 species